rnacentral:rRNA from 1 species
UCGCGAAGAACCUUACCAGGCCUUGACAUCGCCCGGAAAGCCGUGGAAACACGGCCCCCUUCGGGACCGGGUGACAGGUGGUGCAUGGUCGUCGUCAGCUCGUGUCGUGAGAUGUUGGGUUAAGUCCCGCAACGAGCGCAACCCUUGCCCUUAGUUGCCAGCACUUCGGGUGGGCACUCUAAGGGGACUGCCGGUGACAAACCGGAGGAAGGUGGGGAUGACGUCAGAUCAUCAUGCCCCUUAUGGUCUGGGCUACACACGUGCUACAAUGGCCGGUACAAACGGAAGCGAAGGGGCGACCCGGAGCGGAUCCGAAAAAGCCGGUCUCAGUUCGGAUUGCAGGCUGCAACUCGCCUGCAUGAAGGCGGAAUCGNUAGUAAUCANUCAGCAG